UUGAGCGGGGGACAACAUUUGGAAACGAAUGCUAAUACCGCAUAACAACUUUAAACACAAGUUUUAAGUUUGAAAGAUGCAAUUGCAUCACUCAAAGAUGAUCCCGCGUUGUAUUAGCUAGUUGGUGAGGUAAAGGCUCACCAAGGCGAUGAUACAUAGCCGACCUGAGAGGGUGAUCGGCCACAUUGGGACUGAGACACGGCCCAAACUCCUACGGGAGGCAGCAGUAGGGAAUCUUCGGCAAUGGACGAAAGUCUGACCGAGCAACGCCGCGUGAGUGAAGAAGGUUUUCGGAUCGUAAAACUCUGUUGGUAGAGAAGAACGUUGGUGAGAGUGGAAAGCUCAUCAAGUGACGGUAACUACCCAGAAAGGGACGGCUAACUACGUGCCAGCAGCCGCGGUAAUACGUAGGUCCCGAGCGUUGUCCGGAUUUAUUGGGCGUAAAGCGAGCGCAGGUGGUUUAUUAAGUCUGGUGUAAAAGGCAGUGGCUCAACCAUUGUAUGCAUUGGAAACUGGUAGACUCGAGUGCAGGAGAGGAGAGUGGAAUUCCAUGUGUAGCGGUGAAAUGCGUAGAUAUAUGGAGGAACACCGGUGGCGAAAGCGGCUCUCUGGCCUGUAACUGACACUGAGGCUCGAAAGCGUGGGGAGCAAACAGGAUUAGAUACCCUGGUAGUCCACGCCGUAAACGAUGAGUGCUAGAUGUAGGGAGCUAUAAGUUCUCUGUAUCGCAGCUA
rnacentral:rRNA from 1 species